AUGCGAUAAGUAAUGUGAAUUGCAGAAUCUCGUGAAUCAUCGAAUCUUUGAACGCACAUUGCGCCCUAUGGUAUUCCGUAGGGCAUAGCUGUCUGAGCGUCCGCCCACACUCAAGCUUCUUAAUUGAAGGUUGGAAUACAACAGGCUAUGUACUCUUUAGAAAUUCAUAGGCAGUAUGGCACAGGCCUGAACCAGGCGUAAUAAGGAUAUAAAAGCGUCUCUCUUUAGGUAGGUUGUACUUGCCUCAACUCACCCAUUUUCUUCUGGGUGACCUCAGAUCAGGUAGGGAUACCCGCUGAACUUAA
rnacentral:rRNA from 1 species